CAGAGCACAGAGCCCUGCUUGGGAAGGAAGGUUCAGAGAACAAAUUGCCUUUUAAAACUGUUGGGCUGGACCUGCCUCUUCCAAAGCUAAAAAUGACUUCUUUUUCUUUCUCUGGGGGCCACCCAAAGCCUUUGGAUUGCAGGUGCUUCAACAACAUCAUUCUACCCGGAUUCCAGAGUGAGAUCAG